CAUUAUAACUAUAAUGAAUAUUAUUAUAAAAGAUAUUUGAAAAAAAAUCUUCCGAUAUAUAAUUUCAAACGUGAAAGUUGAUUGAAAAAUUGUAAUAAGUGGUUUAUUUGACCUCAAAUUGUAUGAUUUAGGAUAACUUGAAGCUCUUUCUAGUAUUCAACGUUCAACCAUAAAACUCUUGAAAACUCACUAUCAAUAUCAUAAAUAUGCAGACCCAGGGAAGAUUGCAUUGAACAAACAAAAAUGCAGUGCACCAAAAGACAAUUAAAUAAAACAAUAUGCGGUUCCAGACACCUGACCUGACCUGACUUUUUCACUUUUAGAUUGCACAGUUGUACCUCCUGCUCCAGACCACAUAACAAUAAUCCCAUUUAUUGAAUCACAGAUAGGAUUCGUGGACUCAUUUUGCUAAUAAGCUCUUCUUAUAAUAAGGCUUAUUAUAAGGCCAUUCAUGUGAUGAAGUUUGUUUUCUUGCGUAUUGGCCGUUCCUUCUCCUUUGACAUGUCACAUACGAACAUCGUUUUGUACGCAAGGUGUGGAAGAACUAUCUAAUAUCUAUAGUACAUUCUUCUAAACAUGUUUUCUUGUGUACAGUUAUUGUUAGAUAUAAGGAGUGAGAAAAGAGAAAACAUUUCUUUGCUUUUCCAGUUUUUAGGGGUCGGUGUCUCAGAUUAAUUAAUCAUAUUAACGAUUUAGUAAGAGACUAAUCAUUUUCCCACAAUAUAAUAAAUGAAAAAGAAACUCAAUAUAUGCAAAAUCUGUACAAUGAAGAUGUCAAAAUCAAGACCUAUGCAGCACUGAGCAACUCUAGCUAGCAAGCCUCGUGAGAACAACCAACUAUAGCUAUUUUAGCUUUUCCCUUUGAUCAAUGCAAAAAACAGGGAUUUUUCUUUUUUCUCAUUCCCUUUUUUGAUUUGGUGUUGAGCACAAGAAGAAUGUUGUUCUUUAUCUAUCUUAUACAUUUAUUAUUGUUUUCACUAGCGAAAGUGAUUAUUGCAUGGAAAGCAACCACAAGAGGUGGUAGAAGAGAGGUGAGAGUGAUGGCGAAUCGCCAUCUUCUGUGCAUGUACCGACGCCUUUUCAAUUUGAUCCGAAUGCUGCUGUCGUGCGGUUUCUCUCCACUCCUCGGCUUUUCUAUGAACAAUCGCCAUCCUCUUCAUCAACUUCUCCUCCAAAUUCGAUCUCAUCUUUUGUAUCUUCACCU